AUGCUUCCAGUCCUCAUCUUGUUCCUGGGGAUGCAUUUUUUCCUGGGAGACAUCCAAGCACAGUCAGUUACUCAGCCUGAUGCCCAUGUCAUUGUCUUCGAAGGAGACUCAGUGGAGCUCAGAUGCAACUACUCCUACAGUGCAACUCCUUACCUCUUCUGGUACAGGCAGAGCCCUAGCUAUGGCCUCCAGUUUCUCCUAAGGUAUUAUUCCGGAGACCCAGUGGUUCACGGCUUGAGUGGUUUUGAGGCUAAGUUUGGCAAGAGCGAAUCUUCCUUCCACCUGAAGAAAGCUUCUGUGCAUCUGAGUGACUCAGCUGUGUACUUCUGUGCUUUGAAUAAACAGUGUCUGGGGCUGCAGGGGGAGCUGAACACAAACCUAUAA